rnacentral:rRNA from 1 species
CCCUUAGAUGUCCGGGGCCGCACGCGCGCUACACUGAAGGAAUCAGCGUGGCUUUCUCCCUGACCCGAAAGGGUUGGGAAACCCGUUGAAUCUCCUUCGUGAUAGGGAUUGGGGCUUGAAAUUGUUCCCCAUGAACGAGGAAUUCCCAGUAAGCGCGAGUCAUAAGCUCGCUUUGAUUACGUCCCUGCCCUUUGUACACACCGCCCGUCGCUACUACCGAUUGAACGGUUUAGUGAGGGCCUCGGAUUGGUCUCGGCCCGCUCUUUACCGGGCGGCGCCGUUGGUCGAGAAGACGCUCGAACUUGAUCGUUUAGAGGAAGUAAAAGUCGUAACA